UGGCGGAGAUCUAUAUUUAGUGGACUGAAUGAAGACUGAGAAAAUGCAGUUUGAAAUGCAAGUGUUGUUUGUGUAUGUGAUGCUGAUAAACCUUUGAAGACUUGUGACGUGUAAUUUGCACACGUCACGGCCUCAUGUGCCUCAACAGAAGACUGCAAUACAAGACUGAAGGCGAAAACCCACUCGAGUACAACACUCAAGACUGAGAAGGGCCCAACGUCCCACCGACAAAUGUGUUCAAAGAGGCGAUGGAGCCUCUCAUACUUGACAUCAGUAAGGAGGGGAAGUGGACGUGACACUUGCUAAGAGAUGGGAUUUCCGUGGAGUAAUUUAGAGAAACAACGUCAAACUAAAGUUGAGUGCUUGCACCUGGACUCAGAUUUUGGCUCUUCUGAACACUGUACAGCGUACUGAAACUGCGUCACCUUGUGAGGGGGCAUCGGUGGGAGUCUGCCUCCUCCUAAAACAAUAACUAAUAACCUAGCAGAGUUGUCCUGUCGGCAUGGGCGACUCACGGGACCGCUUGGACUCGGAUGACGAAGCAGGCAGCGGCGAGAGCGGCGCGGAUGCCCGGGCCGCCGGUAGCGGGGGCGGGG